rnacentral:rRNA from 1 species
CCUACGGGCGGCAGCAGUGAGGAAUAUUGGUCAAUGGACGAGAGUCUGAACCAGCCAAGUAGCGUGAAGGAUGACUGCCCUAUGGGUUGUAAACUUCUUUUAUAUGGGAAUAAAACGUUCCACGUGUGGGAUUUUGUAUGUACCAUAUGAAUAAGGAUCGGCUAACUCCGUGCCAGCAGCCGCGGUAAUACGGAGGAUCCGAGCGUUAUCCGGAUUUAUUGGGUUUAAAGGGAGCGUAGGUGGAUUGUUAAGUCAGUUGUGAAAGUUUGCGGCUCAACCGUAAAAUUGCAGUUGAAACUGGCAGUCUUGAGUACAGUAGAGGUGGGCGGAAUUCGUGGUGUAGCGGUGAAAUGCUUAGAUAUCACGAAGAACUCCGAUUGCGAAGGCAGUUCACUGGACUGCAACUGACACUGAGGCUCGAAAGUGUGGGUAUCAAACAGGAUUAGAUACCGCUGUAGUC